rnacentral:rRNA from 1 species
GACGGAGGGUGCAAGCGUUGUUCGGAAUUACUGGGCGUAAAGCGUACGUAGGCGGUGGAUUAAGUCGAAUGUUAAAGCCUGGGGCUCAACCCCAGAGAUGCAUUCGAUACUGGUUCACUAGAGGGUGAUAGAGGAAAGCGGAAUUCCCAGUGUAGCGGUGAAAUGCGUAGAUAUUGGGAGGAACAUCAGUAGCGAAGGCGGCUUUCUGGGUCACACCUGACGCUGAGGUACGAAAGCGUGGGGAGCAAACGGGAUUAGAUACCCCGGUAGUCCACGCCGUAAACGAUGGAUGCUAGGUGUAGCGGGUAUCGACCCCUGCUGUGCCGUAGCCAACGCGUUAAGCAUCCCGCCUGGGGAGUACGCACGCAAGUGUGAA